rnacentral:lncRNA from 1 species
CAAAGAUAAAAAAAAAAAUUCUUACCCUCAAGGAGCUUACCUUUUGUUGGGAGAAACAGGAGGCCAAACUUCCAGAAAAUUGGAGUAUUAUAGUCUCUUUGCUUGAUCAAUGGGAGUCCCUGUCCAAGGAGCAGGAGGAAACAGGUCUACGGACAGAAUCAUGGAUCUGGAAUUAAGAGAACUACAUUUGUUCUGAGUUUCACUAUAAUACUGAUUGACAUCUUGUGACACCGAUCAAGGUAUUUUCAUUGCCUCUGUU